CCUACGGGGGGCAGCAGUGGGGAAUAUUGGACAAUGGGCGAAAGCCUGAUCCAGCCAUGCCGCGUGUGUGAAGAAGGCCUUCGGGUUGUAAAGCACUUUCAGUGGGGAAGAAAGCCUUGGGGCUAAUACCCUCGAGGAAGGACAUCACCCACAGAAGAAGCACCGGCUAACUCCGUGCCAGCAGCCGCGGUAAUACGGAGGGGUGCGAGCGUUAAUCGGAAUUACUGGGCGUAAAGCGCGCGUAGGCGGUCUGAUAAGCCGGUUGUGAAAGCCCCGGGCUCAACCUGGGAACGGCAUCCGGAACUGGCAGGCGAGAGUGCAGGAGAGGAAGGUAGAAUUCCCGGUGUAGCGGUGAAAUGCGUAGAGAUCGGGAGGAAUACCAGUGGCGAAGGCGGCCUUCUGGACUGACACUGACGCUGAGGUGCGAAAGCGUGGGUAGCAAACAGGAUUAGAUACCCGAGUAGUC
rnacentral:rRNA from 1 species